GACGAACGCUGGCGGCGUGCUUAACACAUGCAAGUCGAACGGAAAGGCCCUGCUUUUGUGGGGUGCUCGAGUGGCGAACGGGUGAGUAACACGUGAGUAACCUGCCCUUGACUUUGGGAUAACUUCAGGAAACUGGGGCUAAUACCGGAUAGGAGCUCCUGCUGCAUGGUGGGGGUUGGAAAGUUUCGGCGGUUGGGGAUGGACUCGCGGCUUAUCAGCUUGUUGGUGGGGUAGUGGCUUACCAAGGCUUUGACGGGUAGCCGGCAUGAGAGGGUGACCGGCCACAUUGGGCCUGAGAUACGGCCCAGACUCCUACGGGAGGCAGCAGUGGGGAAUAUUGCACAAUGGGCGGAAGCCUGAUGCAGCAACGCCGCGUGCGGGAUGACGGCCUUCGGGUUGUAAACCGCUUUCGCCUGUGACGAAGCGUGAGUGACGGUAAUGGGUAAAGAAGCACCGGCUAACUACGUG
rnacentral:rRNA from 1 species